rnacentral:rRNA from 1 species
AACGAACGCUGGCGGCAUGCCUAACACAUGCAAGUCGAACGAGACCUUCGGGUCUAGUUGCGCAGGGGUGCGUAACGCGUGGGAACCUGCCCUUAUGUUCGGAAUCCCUCCCUGAAAGGGGUGCUAAUACCGGAUAAUCUCUUCGGACCUAUGAUCUAUGGCCUUUGGAUGGGCCCGCGUUGGAUUAGCUAGUUGGUAGGGUAAAAGCCUGCCAAGGCGAGGAUGCAUAGCUGGUCUGAGAGCAUGAUACGCCGCACUGGGACUGAGACACGGCCCAGACUGGGAAGGGAGGAAGCAGGGGGGAAGAUUGGACAAGGGACGAAAGGCUAAGCAAGCAAUGCCGCGGGAGUGAUGAAGGCGUUAGGGUUGAAAAGCGAUUUUACCCGGGAUGAUAAUGACAGUACCGGGAGAAGAAGCGCCGGCUAACUACGUG